rnacentral:rRNA from 1 species
GAGUUUGAUCGUGGCUCAGGACGAACGCUGGCGGCGUGCUUAACACAUGCAAGUCGAACGGGGCACCCUUGAAGGAGUUUUCGGACAACGGAUGGGAAUGCUUAGUGGCGGACUGGUGAGUAACGCGUGAGGAACCUGCCUUCCAGAGGGGGACAACAGUUGGAAACGACUGCUAAUACCGCAUGACGCAUUGGUGUCGCAUGGCACUGAUGUCAAAGAUUUAUCGCUGGAAGAUGGCCUCGCGUCUGAUUAGCUAGUUGGUGAGGUAACGGCCCACCAAGGCGACGAUCAGUAGCCGGACUGAGAGGUUGGCCGGCCACAUUGGGACUGAGAUACGGCCCAGACUCCUACGGGAGGCAGCAGUGGGGAAUAUUGGGCAAUGGACGCAAGUCUGACCCAGCAACGCCGCGUGAAGGAAGAAGGCUUUCGGUUGUAACUUCUUUAGGGGAAGAGCAGAAGACGGUACCCUUGAAUAAGCCACGGCUACUACGUGCCAGCA